UAAGCAUAUCAAUAAGCGGAGGAAAAGAAACCAACAGGGAUUGCCCUAGUAACGGCGAGUGAAGCGGCAAUAGCUCAAAUUUGAAAGCUGGCCUUAUGGUCCGCAUUGUAAUUUGUAGAGGAUGCUUUUAGGCAGCCGCCGGUCUAAGUUCCUUGGAACAGGACGUCAUAGAGGGUGAGAAUCCCGUAUGUGACCGGCUCUGGCACCUUAUGUAAAGCUCCUUCGACGAGUCGAGUUGUUUGGGAAUGCAGCUCUAAAUGGGAGGUAAAUUUCUUCUAAAGCUAAAUACUGGCGAGAGACCGAUAGCGCACAAGUAGAGUGAUCGAAAGAUGAAAAGCACUUUGGAAAGAGAGUUAAAAAGCACGUGAAAUUGUUGAAAGGGAAGCGCUUGCAAUCAGACUUGGACUUGGCUGUUCAACCGGUCUUCUGACCGGCCCACUCAGUCUUGUCCAGGCCAGCAUCAGUUUCGGCGGCCGGAUAAAGGCCCUGGGAAUGUGGCUGUCCCUUCGGGGACAGUGUUAUAGCCCAGGGUGUAAUACGGCCAGCCGGGACUGAGGUCCGCGCUUCGGCUAGGAUGCUGGCGUAAUGGUUGUAAGCGGCCCGUCUUGAAACACGGACCAAGGAGUCUAACAUCUAUGCGAGUGUUAGGGUGUCAAACCCUUACGCGUAAUGAAAGUGAACGGAGGUGGGAACCCGCAAGGGUGCACCAUCGACCGAUCCUGAUGUCUUCGGAUGGAUUUGAGUAAGAGCAUAGCUGUUGGGACCCGAAAGAUGGUGAACUAUGCCUGAAUAGGGUGAAGCCAGAGGAAACUCUGGUGGAGGCUCGCAGCGGUUCUGACGUGCAAAUCGAUCGUCAAAUUUGGGUAUAGGGGCGAAAGACUAAUCGAACCAUCUAGUAGCUGGUUCCUGCCGA
rnacentral:rRNA from 1 species